GACGAACGCUGGCGGCGUGCCUAAUACAUGCAAGUAGAACGCACAGUUUAUACCGUAGCUUGCUACACCAUAGACUGUGAGUUGCGAACGGGUGAGUAACGCGUAGGUAACCUGCCUGGUAGCGGGGGAUAACUAUUGGAAACGAUAGCUAAUACCGCAUAAUAUUAAUUAUUGCAUGAUAAUUAAUUGAAAGGUGCAAUUGCACCACUACCAGAUGGACCUGCGUUGUAUUAGCUAGUAGGUGAGGUAACGGCUCACCUAGGCGACGAUACAUAGCCGACCUGAGAGGGUGAUCGGCCACACUGGGACGGAGACACGGCCCAGACUCCUACGGGAGGCAGCAGUAGGGAAGCUUCGGCAAUAGACGAAAGUCUGACCGAGCAACGCCGCGUGAGUGAAGAAGGUUGUCGGAUCGGAAAGCUCUGUUGUAAGAGAAGAACGGGUGUGAGAGUGGAAAGUUCACACUGUGACGGUAGCUGACCAGAAAGGGACGGCUAACUACGUG
rnacentral:rRNA from 1 species